rnacentral:lncRNA from 1 species
GUGGGAAGGACUGGGUGCGGUAGGCAGGUUCCGGACUGAAGCGGAGGCUCUGACUUUCUCCCUGCCCGGGCAGGUGUGCGGGUGCCGGGCAGAAACCACGCUCUGGGCAGCCUGGCCUGGGCCUCACGACGGGCCCUGGGCGCUCAGUCAUAACCUGUGGCCGCUCCAACACUCCCGCCCCCCCACCAACAGGCGCGGCUCUCCUCCCGGGCUGAACCACAUUUUUUGGACAUGAGUGGGCGAGUGCGGGUGAAAUUCAGGCCACAGGCUCCAGAGCGGCUCGGAGAAAACGCCGCCCGGAAACUAAGAGCAGAGGGUCAAAGGUACCAGAAAGACUCUCAAGAGUGGGUUAUUACCCUGGUGGGGGUGCCCGCUGCGGCGCAAGAGACGGCGGGACUCGGAGCAUGGGUGUGAAGCCCCAACGAAACCAGUGCGACGUUCCUGGGGAAGUAAUGUCGCCAGGCUCUCUCGGCCCGGGGAUUGGUCCAGGAAGGUCACCUGGCACCGACCCAGCUCCCUGCCUGGACGCCCGCGCUCGCCCUGCAGCCCCACAGCGACCACGAAGACCAGCUUCCUUGAAUGGCCCACUUUUCUCCGUGGCUGAGCGAAUACUCCUAGAAUACCACGUUUGUAUACACCCAACAGGAAUUCUUUCUGUGUCAAACCCGGAAUGAUGAAUAGCCACCCCUGUGCUUACCCUUCUAUAAUUUUCAGCAAUCCUGCAGUGAACCCCAGUUAGGUGCCAGCAAGGUGCUAGGGACUGAGGAGGCUCUGCAGAGGGCCCGAGCUGAGGUCCUAAUCCUCAAGACCAAUGGCAGGGGUCACCAGACAGUCACCCCCAGAGAAUGCGGUGUGAAGGAAAAGACGCCAUACUCAGUGUUCAAAAUGUCUGGAAUCUAUUACAGUUCUGAUUUUGACACUUGCAAGUGAUGCAUCCUCUAAGCCUCGGCUUUCUCUCCUAUAAAAUCUUCAAUAAGACCUAUACAAAUCCAUAAAAUCAUCCCUGCUUCAUUGUUUCCCAGGGCUCAUAGAAACAUCCCACGAGGUAAGGGAAAGUGAGUGCCUUGUAAAAAAUGGUGACGUGCUAUAUAGCUCUGAGUAGUGUGGUGUAUAAGCUUCCUUUUUAAAAAGUUUUAUUUUUAGGGCCAGGCUCAGUGGCUCGCAGCUGUAAUCCCAACACUCUGAGAGGCAGAGGCGGGUGGAUCACCUGAGGUCAGGAAUUCAAAACCAGCAUGGCCAACAUGGUGAAACCCCAUCUCUACUAAAAAUACAAAAUACAAAACCUCGUCUCAAAAAAAAGUUUUUUUGAAUGUUUGUGGGUACAUAAGGUGUAUUAAUCUUUCUAACAUUGCCUCCCUCAACAGGCAACAGUUGAGCACAGUCAACAUGACUGGUCAUGUGCUUGGUGCCCAAUAGAGAGACAAGUGAAAACUCUUGUUUUUUCUGGUUUCUAGAGUUGAACACUAGAGUCAUGUAUUUUCAAAAUCUUUUGUUGUUUUCUUUCUUUUUUUAUUUUAUUUUAUUUUUGAGACAGUGUCUCACUCUUGUUGCUCAGGCCGGAGUGCAGUGGUGCUAUCUUGGUUCACUGCAACCUCCACCUCCAGGGUUCAAGCGAUUCUCCUGACUCAGCCUCCCCGGUCGCUGGGAUUACAGGCAUCUGCCACCAUACUUGGCUGUGUUUCGCCAUGUUGGACAGGCUGGUCUUGAAUUCCUGACCUAAGGUGAUCCUCCUGCCUUGGCCUCCCAAAGUGCUGGGAUUACAGGCAUGAGCCACUGUGCCCACCUCUUUGUUAUUUUCUAAUAAGUACAUGGGACUAUCAUUUCCCUCAAAAGUCUGCUUUGGCUGAAUAUCACAAGUUUUAAUAUGCCAUGCUUUUGUUAUCUCUUAAUUAUUAAUAUUUUGGGUGUUUUUUUGUUUGUUUGGUUGUUUUUUUGUUUUGUUUUGUUUUUGAGACAGAGUCUUGCUCUGUCAACCAGGCUGGACUGCAGUGGCACAAUCUCAGCUUACUGCAACCUCAACCUCCCAGGUUCAAGAGAUUCUCCUGCCUUAGCCUCCUGAGUAGCUGCGAUUACAGGCUUGUGCCACUAUGCCCGACUAAUUUUUAUAUUUUUAGUAGAGAUGGGGUUUCACCAUUCUGGCCAGGCUGGUCUCUAACUCCUGACCUCAAGUGCUCUGCCUGCCUCCGCCUCCCAAAGAGCUGGGAUUACAGCCACUGCACCUGGCCAAUAUUUUGGUGUUUAUGUUAGGACUGUAUAUCCUUAAUUCAUGAAUUAUUUAGAAAUACAUUUUCCUUUUUUUUUUUUUUUCCGCUUUCAAACUUCUGGAGUGUUUGUUUGUUUGAUUGAGAUGGAGUUUUGCUUUUGUUGCCUAUGCUAGAGUGCAAUGCUGUGAUCUUGGCUCACUGACACCUCCACCUCCUGGGUUCAAGCAAUUCUCCUGCCUCAGCCUCCUGAGUAACUGGGAUUACAGGCAUGUAAAUUAGCCACCACACCUGGCUAAUUUUGUAUUUUUGGUGGAAAUGGGGUUUCUCCAUGUUGGCCAGGCUGGUCUUGAACUCCUGACCUCAGGUGAUCCUCGAGCUUCGGCCUCCCAAACUGCUGGGAUUACAUGUGUGAGCCACCGUGCCUGGCCACAAACUCUUUUUGUUUAAAAAAAUAAUAAUCAUUUGGGGAGGGGCCCAGUGGCUCAGCCGUGUAAUCCUAGCACUUUGGGAGGCCAAGGUAGGAAGAUCGCUUGAGACCAGGAGUUUAAGACCAGCCUGGGCAACGUACUGAGAGCCUCUCUACAAAAAAAGUUUUUAAAAUAAAAAUAAACCAAUCAUUUUGUCAUUGAUCUCUCACUUUAAUGCUUGGAGAUGAGGAAAUGUGUUUUUUUAGAAUUUGUUAAUGACUCCUUUGUGGCCUCAUGUACAGACUUUUUUUUGGCUGUCUCAAUUUUUGUGAUUGUGUCUUCACGUUUUAUGUGUGGUGUUUUUUUUUUUUUCAUUAUAUAUCUCAGUCUGGUUUGGUAAUCAGGUUAUUUAGAUCUUUUAUCUCCUAGGUUUUUUUUUUUUUCCUCUUCUGUUUAAUCCAUUAAUUUCUGAAAGAGUAGGUUUAACAUGUCCCACUUUUACUGUAGUUUGUCAAUUUCUCUCUUUAACUUUGUCUGAUUUUGCUUUAUAUCUGUUUUCAGUUUUUUGACUUUUUUUUUAAGGGUCUCACCAAGUUUCCCAGGCUGGAGUGCAGUAGCUAUUCACGGGUGUGAUCAUAACUGUAGCCUCAAACUCCUGACCUCAAGCCAUCCUCCUGCCUCGGCCUCCUAGGUGGCUGGGAUUACAGGCAUGCAGCACCUCACCUGGGCAGCCUUAUAAUUUUGAGAGCAAAUUAUUAGGCUCAUACAAGUUAAUAUUGUUUUAUCCUUUUAUGACUUACUCAGUUUUAUUAUUUUUCUAUUAGUAUUGCUAUCCUGAGAUAGCAUUUGUCUAGUAUAUAUUUUAUUCUCCUUUUUACUCUUUCUGUAUUGUUAUUUAGGUUUAUCCCUUAGAAAUGCCAUGUUGUUUUUUACACAUUUUAAAAGUUCAUUGAGUUUCUAUUUGUAAAUUGGUGAGUUUAACCAGUUCACAUUGAUAACAAAAAUAUUUGGAGUUAUUUCUGCCAUCUUUUGUGUUAUACAUAAAUCCUUGAAAUGGAUAUUCAUCUAGAACACAUCAAUAAAACCCUACAAAUUUUAUAAAUUGGAAUUCUUCCAUGCUGCUUGGUAAAUAGCUGCUCCUCUGAGACCCCACAGUGCCCCCACACCUAACCUUCUUCUGAUCUGGCAGAAAAGGGACAAUGCCUGUCAGAGGGAGACCCUCUGAGUGGAAAAGUCCUCUAGGACUUUUUCUGAGAUUCUAAUUCGUCCGCAGACAGGCCAUACCAGUGGCUUAGUGUUUUGAAUAUCGUAUACAAUAUGCUUUCUUGUUGUUUCUUUUCCUCUUUCCCUGCAUUUCUUUGGGUUGUUUGAAUUGUCUUUAAUAGGAGGGUGGUACUAGAAUUACAAAUGUAUCAAUAAUACCGGCCUACUAGUACCUUCACCAGGAUAUCCCUCAAAAACUCAAAUUUAUCAUGUCAAAUCAUGAAUUUUUUUCUCUCUAAACCUGCUUUUUCUCCUGGGUUCUGUCUCCCCUUGGGGUACCACAUUCUGCCAAGCCAUUCCAGCUAGAGAUCUGAUAGCAACUGGAUUUCCCUCUGCCAGAGGGAAAUUCUGCCAACAGAGAAGGAUUCACCAGGAAACUGCCCAGCCUCUUGUUUGCAUGGGCUCCUGACAAGGUUGCGGUGGGAGAGGCUUUAGCAGUGUUACAUGGUAAUGUGUUUUUACAGACUUUGCAAAAGUAAGCUAUUUUAAGUGCAAAUGCAGCUACAUUGCUUAAUGACAGGGAUGUGUUUUGGGAAAUGUAUCCUUAAGUGACGCUGUUGUGCCAACGUCAUAAAGUGUAAUUACACAAACCUAGAUGGUAGAGCCUCCUAUACGCCGAGGCUGCCUGGUUAUAGCCUAUUACCGUACAUUCUGUAUAUGUACAGUAUAUGCUAUAAGAAUAUGCUAGGCAGGUGUAACACAAUGGCAAGUAUUUGUGUGUCUAAACAUACCUCAACACAGAAAACGUACAGGGAAAAUUUGAUAUGAUAAUCUGAAGGGACCACCGUGGUGUAUAUGGUCCGUCAUUGACUGAAAUGUCCUCGUGCAGCCCUUGGCUGUAGCUAAGAUGGCUGGCUCUUUCCACUCUGAUUCCCCUCCACCUCACUGCUUCUCAUACCCCUUAUGUUGGAGCGCUCAUAGGCAUUUUUAGGAUCUGGCUAGGGAUAAGACAGCUACAUGUAGUUUACAGUCACUUCUGUGUGUGGUUGUAUUCCUUCCAGAGUAGGAAUGACUUCCAGGAAUAUUGUUCUGAUUCAGGCAGCAGGGUCAGAGAUGACAUCUAAAUAAUAAACAUUUCUCCAGCACCUGUUUUCAGAAAUAUGUCAGCAGUGGAGGAGAAACAAGUAAACAGCCAGAAACUAGUCUAUGGAAAACUCUCUCACCC